GACGGAGGUGGCAAACGUUGCUCGGAAUUACUGGGCUUAAAGGGCGUGUAGGCGGUCGACUAAGUCGGGUGUGAAAUACUCCGGCCCAACCGGGGAAUUGCAUUCGAUACUGGUCGGCUAGAGUGCGAGAGGGGCAAGUGGAACUCCAGGUGUAGCGGUGAAAUGCGUAGAUAUCUGGAGGAACGCCGGUGGCGAAAGCGACUUGCUGGCUCGUAACUGACGCUGAGGCGCGAAAGCCAGGGGAGCAAACGGG
rnacentral:rRNA from 1 species